GAUGAAGAACGUAGCGAAAUGCGAUAAGUAAUGUGAAUUGCAGAAUUCAGUGAAUCAUCGAAUCUUUGAACGCACAUUGCGCCCCCUGGUAUUCCGGGGGGCAUGCCUGUUCGAGCGCCAUUUCACCACUCAAGCCUCGCUUGGUAUUGGGCAACGCGGUCCGCCGCGUGCCUCAAAUCGACCGGCUGGGUCUUCUGUCCCCUAAGCGUUGUGGAAACUAUUCGCUAAAGGGUGUUCGGGAGGCUACGCCGUAAAACAACCCCAUUUCUAAGGUUGACCUCGGAUCAGGUAGGGAUACCCGCUGAACUUAAGCAUAUCAAUAAGCGGAGGA
rnacentral:misc_RNA from 1 species